rnacentral:rRNA from 1 species
GAUGAACGCUGGCGGCGUGCCUAAUACAUGCAAGUCGAGCGAACGGACGAGACGCUUGCUUCUCUGAUGUUAGCGGCGGACGGGUGAGUAACACGUGGAUACCCUACCUAUAAGACUGGGAUCACUUCGGGAAACCGGAGCUCAUACCGGAUAAUAUUUUGAACCGCAUUGUUCAAAAGUGAAAGACGGUAUUGCUGUAUCUUAUAGAUGGAUCCGCGCUGCAUUAGCUAGUUGGUAAGGUAACGGCUUACCAAGGCAACGAUGCAUAGCCGACCUGAGAGGGUGAUCGCCCACACGGGAACUGAGACACGGUCCAGACUCCUACGGGAGGCAGCAGUGGGGAAUCUUCCGCAAUGGGCGAAAGCCUGACGGAGCAACGCCGCGUGAGUGAUGAAGGCCUUCGGUUCGUAAAACUCUGUUAUUAGGGAAGAACAUAUGUGUAGGUAACUGUGCACAUCUUGACGGUACCUAAUCAGAAAGCCACGGCUAACUACGUG